GUCACCAAAUAUAGCAGCAACAAACUUUAUCCAUUCACCUCCGCCUCGGCGGCGCAGGCCAAACCAAGAAAUAGAAGCCUAUGGCAGCUCAGAUCACCACGAAACCGAAAUGUCCAACCGCCGAUCACACGCUUUCUAUUUUUAUUGCUGAAGGAGUUUUCUUUCCGGAGCUGAACUACUUGUUUGCGUAGCUGGAGGAUGGCGUCGGCGAAGUUCGGCCUACGCCGGCGCCGGCCGAGAUCAUUAUAUGUUUAAAAGGUGAGAUUUUGAGAAGGGAAGUGAUUUAGGGAAUUGGCAUCUGUUGUUAUGAAGCGUGUUGAGUUAUUGGAGAAAUGAGCUGAGGCUGGGGAAGUUGUCUUUAUGUUACAAGAUUUUAGUGUGUUCUUGGGAUUAAGGUGAAGAUCAUGGUUGAUUGGGAUCCCAAGGGUUAGUAAGGCUGCAUGACACCCCUACCUGAUCUGGUCAUCUCACAUGUCUUUGGAGGAAGGAUACACCAGGCCCCCAUUCUGCACAAUGGAAGUAUCAUAGAAGUGCCGGUUGUGGUCACUGACUAGAUUUCUUUAUUCGCAAUUUUUUUGAUCUUGUAAAGUCAAGAACAUGAAGAUGUACUUUUCAUAGUCACUUAUUCAAACUGCUAUGCACCAAUGAUAAUUAGUCAUGUUUGGAGUUUGUACAACAUAUUAAUACUACUGGGAUGUAUGCUA